rnacentral:lncRNA from 1 species
CGGCGGGCGAGGCGGCACCAGAAGAUGGACCCCACCGCUGUGCACGGCAUCACCAAGUACUCUGACCUCACCCCCGCCGAGUUCCGGCGGACCUUCCUCGGCCUUCGCGGCGGCCGGCGCCUCCGCCGGGCGCUGGCCUCGUCCCAUGAGGCGCCCAUCCUCCCCACCAACGACCUCCCGACCGACUUCGACUGGAGGGACCACGGCGCCGUCACCGGCGUCAAGGAUCAGG